GAGUUUGAUCCUGGCUCAGAGUGAACGCUGGCGGCGUGCCUAAUACAUGCAAGUCGAACGAUGAAGCUUCUAGCUUGCUAGAAGUGGAUUAGUGGCGCACGGGUGAGUAAUGCAUAGGUUAUGUGCCCUUUAGUCUGGGAUAGCCACUGGAAACGGUGAUUAAUACUGGAUACUCCCUACGGGGGAAAGCUAAAGGAUCAGCCUAUGUCCUAUCAGCUUGUUGGUGAGGUAAUGGCUCACCAAGGCUAUGACGGGUAUCCGGCCUGAGAGGGUGAUCGGACACACUGGAACUGAGACACGGUCCAGACUCCUACGGGAGGCAGCAGUAGGGAAUAUUGCUCAAUGGGGGAAACCCUGAAGCAGCAACGCCGCGUGGAGGAUGAAGGUUUUAGGAUUGUAAACUCCUUUUGUAAGAGAAGAUUAUGACGGUAUCUUACGAAUAAGCACCGGCUAACUCCGUGCCAGCAGCCGCGGUAAUACGGAGGGUGCAAGCGUUACUCGGAAUCACUGGGCGUAAAGAGCGCGUAGGCGGGAGAGUAAGUCAGAUGUGAAAUCCUGUAGCUUAACUACAGAACUGCAUUUGAAACUACUUUUCUAGAGUAUGGGAGAGGUAGGUGGAAUUCUUGGUGUAGGGGUAAAAUCCGUAGAGAUCAAGAGGAAUACUCAUUGCGAAGGCGACCUGCUGGAACAUUACUGACGCUGAUGCGCGAAAGCGUGGGGAGCAAACAGGAUUAGAUACCCUGGUAGUCCACGCCCUAAACGAUGAAUGCUAGUUGUUGCCCUGCUUGUCAGGGCAGUAAUGCAGCUAACGCAUUAAGCAUUCCGCCUGGGGAGUACGGUCGCAAGAUUAAAACUCAAAGGAAUAGACGGGGACCCGCACAAGCGGUGGAGCAUGUGGUUUAAUUCGAAGAUACGCGAAGAACCUUACCUAGGCUUGACAUUGAUAGAAUCCGCUAGAGAUAGUGGAGUGCUGGCUUGCCAGAGCUUGAAAACAGGUGCUGCACGGCUGUCGUCAGCUCGUGUCGUGAGAUGUUGGGUUAAGUCCCGCAACGAGCGCAACCCUCGUCCUUAGUUGCUAGCAGUUCGGCUGAGCACUCUAAGGAGACUGCCUUCGUAAGGAGGAGGAAGGUGAGGAYGACGUCAAGUCAUCAUGGCCCUUACGCCUAGGGCUACACACGUGCUACAAUGGGACAUACAAAAAGAUGCAAUACCGCGAGGUGGAGCAAAUCUCUAAAAUGUCUCUCAGUUCGGAUUGUAGUCUGCAACUCGACUACAUAAAGCUGGAAUCGCUAGUAAUCGUGAAUCAGCAAUGUCACGGUGAAUACGUUCCCGGGUCUUGUACUCACCGCCCGUCACACCAUGGGAGUUGUAUUCGCCUUAAGUCGGGAUACUAAAUUGGUUACCGCCCACGGCGGAUGCAGCGACUGGGGUGAAGUCGUAACAAGGUAACCGUAGGUGAACCUGC
rnacentral:rRNA from 1 species